GAAUUCUUCAGUUGGAACAGACAACCAAUGGCAUGGAACCUUCACCAUCAUGUCUACAAUCUGACAGUGGAAACGAAUGUUGAGCUGUGGUCUACAUGGUCACAUGGACUUAAGAGUACCCCUCACAUAGGGCACUCUUUCUGGAUACUUCAAGCUAGUCAAUUUGUUCAUAGUUUCCAGAAGUCUACAGUCUUCACUGGUGGCUGCCAGUUCGCUUAUCAGGUUGAGAACCUCAGGUACAAUGUAGCACCAAUAGUUGGGAUGAGAACUGAUCUGCAGACCUGAAGCGAGAUACAGACUGCUAAGAAGCUCCUGAAAGAACCAUAGUGCCUACUAUUUCUGGCUCCUGGGGCCUCAGCUGACUGCAAAAAUAUCCUUCAAUAAAUCUCACUAAGAUGCACA
rnacentral:lncRNA from 1 species